rnacentral:rRNA from 1 species
UAGGGAAUCUUCCGCAAUGGACGCAAGUCUGAUGGAGCAACGCCGCGUGAGUGAAGAAGGAUUUCGGUUCGUAAAACUCCGUUGUUAGAGAAGAACAGCGCAUAGAGUAACUGUUAUGCGUGUGACGGUAUCUAACCAGAAAGCCACGGCUAACUACGUGCCAGCAGCCGCGGUAAUACGUAGGUGGCAAGCGUUGUCCGGAUUUAUUGGGCGUAAAGCGAGCGCAGGCGGUCAAUUAAGUCUGAUGUGAAAGCCCCCGGCUCAACCGGGGAGGGUCAUUAGAAACUGGGUGACUUGAGUGCAGAAGAGGAGAGUGGAAUUCCAUGUGUAGCGGUGAAAUGCGUAGAUAUAUGGAGGAACACCAGUGGCGAAGGCGACUCUCUGGUCUGUAACUGACGCUGAGGCUCGAAAGCGUGGGUAGCAAACAGG